GGCUGCUGCCCCCCCCCACGCGCCCCACGCGGGGAGGAAGAAGGACCCAGCGCUCUGCUGCCCUGCUUAAACAAGAUGAAACGGAGCUCAUCUUCCAGUGGUAGCAAUGGCCGGCCUGCUGCCCAUUAGAGUUCAGGACGCAAGUAGAGCUGGUCCACAUACACCUGAAGCAAGGACAAGUGUUUCUGGAGUGUCACAAAAGACUCCAUGGGGCUUUUUUGCUGGUACAGAAAAGUUAAAGGAUCCCAGGCCACUUCAUGACAAGGCUUACAUCCAGCAGUGCACCCGACAGCUCUGCGAGGUCCCCACUGUUGAAUCCAGGCUCUGGUGUCUGAACAAGGCACUGGUUCUCGUGUCAAACCCUGCAAUGGAACCCAGGUGCCCUGUUGGUAUACAAGGUACCAAAUCCUUUCAAUGAAGGCAUUGCCACCAGGUCACUGCAACUCUCAGACUCCAUGACUGUCUGACUCCGCUCAGCCUCUGGUUGUUUUUUACUUUGUUCCCUUAGGGGUAUCCUGCUGUCUUCUAGUAUUUCAACCUCAACAUUUUCUUCCCCCUUUAAGCGUUUGAAUUGGCUCCAUUUGCUGGUGUAGGUUCUAGCUAUUGCUAGGCUGCAGUGUUCAAGAGACCCUAGAAAAUGCUUGAAGCUUGUACAAGGGCAUCUUCAGGCUAAAUAUCAUAGCUUAAAACAUUCGUUUCUCUGUAUGACUUCAGAGUUACAGAUACUUCGUUUUUAAGGCCAGAAAUGAGCAUUAGGUUAUCUAAUUCAACUUCCUGUGUAACACAAGUGAUAAAAUUUCACCCAGCUACCCCUGUAUUGAGCUCAAUAAUUUGUUGGACUAAAGUAUAUCUUUAUUACUGGUAAGGCCAAAACUAUGAAAGCUGAAAUAACUUACUUUCACCACAUCUAUUCUAUCUUUUGCCCUUCUUUUAUCAUAGACAGUGAAACUAGAUGACUCUGUUUUACUUUCUGGUUCUCAUGCACUAGUGUAAUGCUGUGAUGUUUGGGUUUCUGAUAUUGCAGGGAAAUAUUCUGAAGAAUAUAUUUGCUUUUUCACACAAUCAAUGCCUUGCAUCUAACCUACUUAAGUUUCUCUUUUCAAUGCACCUAUGCCUGACUAAUCACAGUGUGGAUUUCUUCCAGAAUUGGUGAAAUCCCUGUUAAAUGACACAGUGGGUUUUGUCAUUUCUCAGUGAUUUCAGAUAGGUUGUACUUGAGACAGGUUUCCCUCUUUUCUCCCCCCCCCCCCCACUCCAAGCCCCUUUGGUGCCACGUGGCACUGGGGUACUGCUGAGCCUGCCUGACCCACUCAGCUGGGCUCCCUUUCACAUUGUGGGGCUGUGAUAAGUUGCCAAGCUCUCCAAGCUUGCUCUGUCACCAGCAUACACACAGAUAGGGACACACCCAGCUGCAGCUUCACACACACAUGCUGAGAUCAGCUCUGCAUGAGAAGGCUCAGUUAAGGCACUUCCCAGUUGCUAAGGCACGCACCCCGCUCUGGAGCGUAAACCCAAAAUUAUACCAUCUUGUGCUGCACAGGGAGCAACUGUACAUCGUAAGGUCAUAAAAUUCGCUCCUCCCUCAAUGUGGAGAGAGAGAUGCAACAACUUUCUCCCCCAAGUUAUAAUUUCCACAUACUGCCUUUAGACGAAACAACAACAAGUUUAUUAACUACAAAAGAUAGAUUAUAAGUCAGGGGUGGCCAACCUGAGCCUGAGAAGGAGCCAGAAUUUACCAAAGUACAUUUCCAAAGAGCUACAGU